rnacentral:rRNA from 1 species
UACGGAGGGUGCAAGCGUUAUCCGGAUUCACUGGGUUUAAAGGGUGCGUAGGUGGGUUCGUAAGUCAGUGGUGAAAUCUCCGAGCUUAACUUGGAAACUGCCAUUGAUACUAUGAGUCUUGAAUAUGGUGGAGGUAAGCGGAAUAUGUCAUGUAGCGGUGAAAUGCUUAGAUAUGACAUAGAACACCUAUUGCGAAGGCAGCUACUACGCCUAUAUUGACGCUGAGGCACGAAAGCGUGGGGAUCAAACAGG